rnacentral:rRNA from 1 species
UGAGGAAUAUUGGUCAAUGGACGCAAGUCUGAACCAGCCAUGCCGCGUGAAGGAUGAAGGCGUUCUGCGUUGUAAACUUCUUUUAUCUGGGAAGAAACCUACGAUUUCUAUUGUAGCCGACGGUACCAGAAGAAUAAGCACCGGCUAACUCCGUGCCAGCAGCCGCGGUAAUACGGAGGGUGCAAGCGUUAUCCGGAUUCACUGGGUUUAAAGGGUGUGUAGGCGGAUAUUUAAGUCAGCGGUGAAAUCUCCGGGCUCAACCCGGAGACUGCCAUUGAUACUAUUUAUCUUGAAUUCUGUUGGGGUAGGCGGAAUACAUCAUGUAGCGGUGAAAUGCUUAGAGAUGAUGUAGAACACCGAUUGCGAAGGCAGCUUACUAAACAGAUAUUGACGCUGAGGCACGAAAGCGUGGGGAUCAAACA